rnacentral:rRNA from 1 species
CCCUUAGAUGUCCUGGGCCGCACGCGCGCUACACUGAGUGUCUGAGAUACGAGUCUGCCUGGUCCGGCAAGGUCUAGGUAAUCGCUAAAAGACACAUCAUGCUUGGGAUAGAUUAUUGCAAAUAUUAAUCUUGAACGAGGAAUUCCUAGUAAGCGCAAGUCAACAGCUUGCGUUGAUUACGUCCCUGCCCUUUGUACACACCGCCCGUCGCUACUACUGAUUGGAUGUUUAAGCGAGGUUCUCGAACUGCUAGCGACUUAGCUUCGGUGAGGUCGCAGUGUGGGAAGUGAACCUAGCUUUGGUGUCUAGAGUAAGUAAAAGUCGUAACA